rnacentral:rRNA from 1 species
GACGAGGGGUGCGAGCGUUAUUCGGAAUUAUUGGGCGUAAAGGGUGCGUAGACGGCAUACUAAGUCUGUUGUUAAAUCUCCCGGCUUAACCGGGAAUCAGCGAUGGAUACUGAUGUGCUAGAGGGUGGAAGAGAGAAGUGGAAUUCUCGGAGUAGCGGUAAAAUGCGUAGAUCUCGAGAGGAACACCAAUGGCGAAGGCAGCUUCUUAGUCCAUUUCUGACGUUGAGGCACGAAAGCGUGGGGAGCAAACAGG